rnacentral:rRNA from 1 species
GGUUUUUAGAUUGAAUUAAGGAUUCGUUCUGCUCAAUGAAAAUUUUAAAUAGCUGCAGUAAAUUGACUGUACAAAGGUAGCAUAAUAAUUAGUUUAUUGAUUGUAAACUGGAAUGAAAGAAUUGAUGAAUGACUAACUGUCUUGGAAAUAAACUUUGAAUUUGAUUAAUGAAUUAAAAGGUUCAUGUGUUUUUAAGGGACGAGAAGACCCUAUAGAGUUUUAUAGGUUUUUAAUUUUUUGUUUGUUAUUUAUUUGGUUGGGGUGACUGUGAAAUUCGUUUAACUUUUAUUAUCUGGUACAUAGAUAAAUGGAUUAAUAUUUAAGGUUUUGGUUAGAAGAUAAAUUACCUUAGGGUUAACAGCAUAAUUUUUUUGGAGAGUUCUUAUCAAUAGAAAAGUUUGUGACCUCGAUGUUGAAUUAGGAUUAUUUUAUGAUGAAGAGAUUAUAUAAUUUGGUCUGUUCGACCAUUGAAUUCCUACA